UGCAAACUUUAAGAACAAGCUGAGGUGAAGUUUACAGGAAUGACAGAAGACAUGGUGUGGAAGUCAAGUGCUAGAAGUAGUGUCAAUAUGAAACAACGCUACCUGUGAUCAAGAAGAGGCACUGAAUUCAACCUUCACCUUGUGAGUGAUAUAAUUGGCAAAUUUCCUCCUGACCACAUGACAAGUUCUGCAGAAUCGCCAGCAUCAGGGGCACCCAGGAACUCAAGAAGUUGCUCCCCAUCACCGAGGGUGUCCAGGGUCAUUGAAAAUUGCACCCCAGCAGCUAGGGUGUCCAGGGAUGAGACAUGUCCCGGCACCUAGGGCGUCAAGGGAGAAUAGUCUCGUCCCUACACCUAGAUCGCCCAGGGACAACAGCCGUACCCUGGCACCUAGGGUGUUCAGGGAUGAGAGGUGGAACCUGGCACCUAGGGCGUUCAGGGACAAGAGGCACACUCCUGCACCAAGGACAUCCAGAGAUGAGGGGUGCACCCUGGCCCAUAUGUUAUGGGACAUGCCCACUCCCAGGACCUCAAGAAUGCAGGAAACUCUGGAUAUAUAUCCCAUGAGUGUAGCUAUUCCAGAAAAGUCAUUCAGCUGCUGGUACAAAUCUGCAAUGGUGUGAACAAUAUAGCCUCCCAGCAGUCUGAAUCUUCCCAUCAGAACAUGGAGCCCCCCGUGACAUUUGAUACAUGUGACACUCUGGCUGAUCUGGAAAUACUGGAAGAGCAGUUAAGUGAUCGCACCAUGAAGGACAAUUUGGCGAAAUGCGUGUUGGUGGAGUGAAAAUCAGCAUCAUUGUGCAAGCAAUAUUGAACAGGGUGUUGUCCAACAAGGUCAUGUCUCUUUAAUCUGAAAGGCAACGAGGGAAAAAUGGCUUUUAUUGACCUGAAUCUUUACAGAGUUGUGCAAGAGACGGUGUCCUGGCUACACACAGUGGUGCCACUGAAGCAGAGGUGUGUUCGUGCAUCAGUUCCCACCUCAAAUAUGCACCAGACAGGCGAGGAGGUGGAGGCCGAAAGCCAUGAUUGACAUGUAAAGAACAGAAUAAAAAUAAACUCCUGUCCAACAGUGGCCAAGAAUGGUGUGUGGCUCGCAUUGUGACCACGCUGCAGGAUGGACGAGUGCCUUGUCUAUGCAAUCUCAACCCUUAUCCUGUGGAGGUUCCUCAGUGGCAGCUACUGGCAGAAGUGACAAAUGACCGCGACUGACAUCCAGGGGGAACGAGAGCUCGUCAUCCACAGCAUGGCGACAGAUGUCAUGGAGGUCGAGGGAGAUGGGCUGAUUCCUGCCCAGCAGGGGGAGAUGACCAAUCUGUUGUAGAAGUGGGUGAAGGUGUUUUCCAGUCAUGAUGAAGACUUCGGCUGUACUGGUGUUGUAAGGCAUCAAAUACCGACUGGGUCAGCGCCCCUGAGCCGGGAGAGAUACCGACCAGUGCUGCCUAGUCUCUAUACAGAGCUGAGAUCCCUAUUGCAGAACAUGCUGGACAAUGGUGUGGUGAGCAAGAGUGCAAGCCCUUGGGCUGCUCCAAUUGUCCUUGUUAAGAAAAAAGAUGGGAGCUGGUGCUUCUGUGUAGACUAUAGGAAGUUAAAUGCCCUCAUGCAUAAAGAUGCUUAUCCAUUGCCACGCAUUGAGGAAUCGUUGACUGGACUUAAAGCUGCUGAGUGGUACUCCACAUUAGACUUGGUGAGUGGCUACUGGCAAGUAGAGAUGCAUCUUCUAGAUGGAGAAAAGACUGCCUUCACAACUCCCUGUGGCCUAUGAGUUCAACCGCAUGCCAUUUGGAUUAUGUAACGUUCCGGCUACUUUCCAAAGAUUAAUGCAGCGUUGCCUAGGAAACUUCACAAAUGAUUCAUUGCUUAUUUACCUUGAUGUGGUAGUGUUUUUCUCCUGAUUUUAGUAGCCACUUGUAUCACUUGGAAGAGGUAUUUCAACAUCUCCAUUAUCAUGGGUUGAAAUUACAGCUUAAAAAGUGCAGUCUGUUCCAGUGUCAGGUAACCUACCUUGGCCAUGUCAUCAGUGAGCAGGGUGUAGCCACCGACCCAGCUAAGACGGCAACAGUAAAGGAUUGGCCAGUCCCCCAGACUGUGAAGCAGGUAAAAUCCUUUCUUGGCUUCGCUGGCUAUUAUCGCCGGUUUAUACCUGCUUUUUCGAAAAUAGCAGCACCCUGAAUGCAGUGACUCGUGGUACUGCCACCCACAUAAAGGCUGCCUUCAUUGAUUGGUCACCAGAAUGCCAGCAGGCUUUUGAACACUUAAAGGAAGCCUUGCUUAGUGUGCCGGUCCUGGCUUAUGCAGACUUCUCCCAACCAUUUAGACUGUAUACAGAUGCCAGUUUGGAAGGUUUAGGGGCAGUAUUGGCCCAAGUACAGGGGGGUCAAGAAAGGGUAAUUGCAUAUGCCAGUCGAAGUCUGCAACCAACAGAGCGAAAUGACCAAAAUUAGUUCCUUUAAGUUAGUUAUUAGCCCUGAAAUGGGCAGUGACUGAAAAGUUUAAAGAUUACCUGUAUGGUGCUGAGUUCACGGUGUUCACAGAUAACCCAUUGGUGCACCUGGACACUGCUCGUCUGGGCGCAGUAGAGCAGCACUGGGUGUCACAGCUAGUGAACUUUAAGUACACAAAUAUAGACCAGGGACCCAGAACAGGAAUGCAGAUGCCUUGUCCAGGCUGCUAAACCCACAGGAACUGACGCUGGCUCAGACAGACCAUGUAGUGGUGGAGAAUGAGACCUGAGCAGAACGGCAGGCUCAAAAUCCAGAGCUGAACCAAAUGUGCCAGUGGAAGGAACAGCAAGUACCACCAGCUGAGGUGAGUGACCCUUUGCCUCCAUAUGUGAAGAGCUGUGCCGAGAAUGGGACCAAAUUUUGUUGCAAGAUGGUGUUUUGGGGAGGCUGCAUAGAGAGGUGGGGUCUGGAUUGGAGAUUUUCCAAGUCAUCAUCCCUGAGCAGGUUACUAAAGAGGUGUGGGAGACUUGCCAUCAGAGUAUGGGACAUCCCAGUGGUGAGCAGAUCCUGGCAACCCUGUGCCAGCGCUGCUACUGGCCGAGGAUGGUGCAGGAUGUGGAGUGGACAGCAACCUGCCCUCAAUGUGUCCUGGCGAAGGCCGGCCCAGAGGUAAAGGCACCUCUGGUGUCUAUUUUUACUACUUAUCCAUUUGAGGUCAUUGGGGUCGACUACCUUUCUUUGGGGUGGCCUGAGGAUAGAUUUUAGUAAUGACAGACCUAUUUUUCCAAAUACGCUCUUGCAGUGCCUACUGGAGAUCAGUCUGCCAACACGACUGCCCAAGCCUUGUAUGGCUACCUGAUUCAGAUAUUUGGCUGCCCGGAAAGAAUCCUGACUGACCGGGGGGCAACAUUUGAGUCCUCUAUGAUGAGGGAGCUUUGUCAGCUUUACGGAUGUCAGAAGAGCCACACUACAGCCUAUCACCCACAGGGGAAUGGUGCAUGUGAGAUUUAACCAGACCCUCUUGGGGUUGUUGAAUUCCCUGACUGAGGUCGAACAAACUCGGUGGUCGAAUCAGCUGCCUGCUCUGGUCCAGGCAUACAACACCACCCAUAGUACCACUGGGAUGACCCCCCCACUAUGUGGUCUUUGAGAGACAUGUUAGGUUACCUGUUGACUGGGCAACCGGCCUGAAGCCUGUGGCAGGGUCUCGUACCUUGUCAGGAUGGGUGAAGAGGCAUCAGGAGGCCCUCAGCUAUGCUUACCAGAUGGUGCAGACUCGAAUUCAACACAGACAGGACCUGGACCAGGCAAGGUACAACAAGCGAGCCAAGUUAGCACCUUUGUUCCCAGGAGAGCAGGUGCUGAUUCGUAACUUUCGUAGAAGGGUCAGAGACAAGUUGAACUUGAAGUGGGCACCAGAGCCAUUUGUGGUGGUUAGACAGUUGCGAGAGGGUCAUCUAGUCUAUGUAUUUUGGCCAGAAGGUAAAGAACAACCAACUCGCAUAGUACAUCGUAAUAACCUUUGACCUUGUCCCUUGAAUGUGUUGCAGAAUAACCAGGUGCCAGAUGAACCUAGGCCGGCGAUGAUUGACUGAUUGUCUGAACAAUCAAAUGCCUUGCCCCCUCCAACUUGGUGGCUACCGAGAUUGUCAGUAGGUGCCAACCAACAGCCAGUUACGAAUUUAGUGGGGCCAGCUCCGGCUCAUCCAUCUGACCCUUCAGUAGUAUCCAAGGCCUUGCCUGGUGAGUUAGAUCAGCCCAGUGUACAUCGUUCCCAGCAAGCUAAUCUGGGAGUAUUCCCAGCUAGGUACUGUUCGGAGUAAGUGGUUGGGACGAUCUCCAUUAAAGGGGGGGGGAAAUGUUAAAAGUAGAACUUCUUGCUGUGGUGUUUUGUGAUUCAUUGACCCAAAUGGUGUGCUGUUUCCUCGUGUGUGUGUGUGUGUGUGUGUGUGUGUGUGUGUGUGUGUGUGUGUGUGUGUUUUUUAAUUUGUUUCUUUGGGUUUAUGAUAUACACUGUGUGCAGUGAAUUUUGCUGUGUUUUCUGAUUAACAUUAUUUGCUGUGGGUUUGUGUGAUUGCAUAGCAACCAGCUGAUUAUUACAGCUAGCUGACUAUCCCCUCGGCCUAGCGUUUGCUGUGCGUGAGACUGCUUGAUUGAUGGACAGGUGUGUACCACAGAUUGUGACUGUGUAGGAGGAAGCAGACACAAUAAAAAAGGACACAUGCAGGCAGGAGGAGGGAAGACAAAGGGCUGGAGCAGGGUGCUUCGUCGUGAGAACCUGGACCCAGAGUCUUGAUUCAACGCAUACUAAAGCUAAGUAAAGGAAAGUCCACCUGCUGAUACUGGGUUGAGUGUUGCGUUAUUUGUGCCUGCGAUGUAUUUUUAUUUUUUAAUUUUUUUAUUUUUUCCUCCUUCCCCUCCUUCUAGCGCGUUGGCUGUAUGCAGUGAGCCUGUGAAAGACGAUUCAACAGAGCCUGGCGUGAAGCUUGGUCUGGUAAGCUGAAGUUGCUCGGCCUGUUUAGGAGGAGCAAGCCUACGGAAGCGAGAUGACAGUGGACGAAUGCGGAGUAUGACUCAACGCUCACGAAAGAUAAGUAAAGGAAAGUUGAUUAGUCUGCGUGUGUUUGUAUAAUAUAAUAUCCAGUGGGGUGUAGCCCUGACAGUCUUUCAUUGUUUGCCCAUAGUGUUUUGGAGUGAUUGGAGCUCACCUGCAAUAACAAGACAACUAGGCUGUCCCAACCUCAUGCUGAAUUAAACAGACUUGGACUUUUAUGCGUAGGCUUUUCUAUUGGACGGUGUCUGUAUCUUAUUGUUAUCCCCCUGCCAUGCUAACGGAUUGAAUAUUUUUUUUUUUAUGGACUACUUUUGUGCACGUUUUUGUGCAUUUUGUGUAACUUAAAUAAACUUGUUAAACUGC